CUAUUUAAGUAUGAAGAAACAUAAAUUUUGAAAUUAAGAAUCUGGAAUCUCAUAUUUUCGAUAUUUAGAUUUGUAAUUACAUUCGCCAAAUAAUUGUGUAAAUAAACACGACAAAAGUUCAAAAAUGCGCGGCUCAAAACACUAAAUGCUGUACAUUUUUAAUAUUUGAAUAUCUCCGCAAGCGUUACGUUUCUAUGGGUAAUUGUAGGAACUCUAAAUCUAUGUUGCUUGUAGAGUUCCGUUUGUGGUUGGAAUCGGAUCGGUUUGUUUGUUCACAACGAUUUCGCAACGGAAUAUGGUAGUAUUAGCUAAGACUCUUACGAUCAUAUUGUUGCCAACUUUGUCGCGCUGCCACUCCCUAUUUUGCUUCACCCCUGGGAUCAUUCUACUGUACCAUAUUAUUGGAAUGCUGUGGAGGAAGACUUGAACUCGAAGUGUGUGGGGUGUAGGCCCGCCCUGCGUUCCCCAGGGAUGCCCGAUAGAUAAAGAUUUCUCACAUUGUUCAUUCGUGAACUGCAAUCAAAAGAUUACUUUAAUCUUGUCCAAAUAAUAACGUUUCUCGGGUCAACUUUACGCUAGAUAACUGCAUUCUUUGCCAAGAGGUGGCAACCAAACAAAAAGUUACCCUAGUGUUGAAAUUAUCGACAAGCUUCUUAAGAAUGUCCAUGAUCGAGCAUCUUGGGAAGACCAAAAGGUACUAGAGACAUGCCAAAUUCUCUGACAAAUCUGACAAAACUGCCAUUGACCUGCUAUCCGGUUGGUAUUAUCGCCUCUGUUCCCUAAGUAAACGGUGCAAACGGCGAUACCAAUAAUCGAUUGAGUCAGGAGAACCCUGUCAGCUAAAUCGUGGUCCAGGAAAGCCUGCUAAUAAAGAUCCCCGCACACCUCUCCUGAACCUGAUGAAGGGAUACUUCAUACUAACAAGAUGUCAAGCAUUGCCGCCUUCAGUGUUCAGAUCGUAAAUUCGGUUCCAGUACUGUACUUUAUGAAAGAGUGUGUUGACGUUAGUACGGAUGCCACGGAUACUGCUCGAAGAUUGGCUAGACUUACUAUCAAAGGAACUUAAUGGAAAAUUAUAUACCAGGUUCGUGCUGGACUUCUCCGUGUCAACAAUCUCCAACUCCGGUGUCCUGUUUUUCGUCCCGUAGUGCUAACGAAAAGAAAAUGCUUCUCAAGUUCAACGACGAAAAGGUAACUGUCUAUCACUAAUCACUAUAUGCGAGGUAAACCUAUGGAGUUGGCAUGGAGGGCAGCAUCAACGAUGGGGUUACACAUAGGGACCCGAUCGACGAUAUAUAAAGUGAAGAGUUACAAGUUCUACAAGACUUAUCUGUUCACCGGUUUAUCAACUCAUGAUUUGGAGAAACUUAAUUCAUGAACUCGAGACUCUAAGUUACUGAGUUAUAUUAUUAUUUCGUGUAUUGCCGGGAAGGCUGUUAAUUUAGGAUAGAGUUUUUGUGGCACUUAUCUCAGUUUGUUCUUUUGUAGUUGUUCUCACACAGCUGAGUAAAAGUUUUAAAACUUGAGAGCAGUGUUUAUAAUUCAAUUUAUUAUUAAUUAGAAUUAAUUGGAGCAUGGAACAACUACACCCUUUGAAGCCUGGAAAAUACGGUAGAUCUAGUUAAGACUCAACAGUCAAUACAUGCUAUGUGGGGGAGAAGAUGGACGAACUUUUUCAAAAAGUAAAAAAAGAGAUGACUGCCGGUAUUGAACCGUGCACCUUACCCAUCGGGCAUUCUUAAAUUAGUCACUUGUGCUAAUCUAGCUUUUGAGUUUCAAGAUCUUGUUUGGUAUUUAUAAUAAUAAUAUGUCAUGACUAAAAGUGCGAGAUCUCUUUUAAAGAUUUCAUCUGUGUUUGAUGUUUACAACUGUCCAAUGUUUUUAAGGUAUUAAAAACGAAGCCGCGAAUUAGUAUCAACAUUGCCAAGUUUAAAUUUGCAAAGCUAGUCUUAACUGUCGUUGUUAGUUAAAUUUUAAAAUAUUUGGUUAGUUAAAUUUUGAUGUUAUACUUACUCCUUACUGUCACCAAGAUGCAGUUAGACCUAACCAGAAAGGCCCAACGCAGAGUUAGGCCUAAAGUAGGCGUUAGGCUUAACUGCAUUUUGGUGACAGUUACAUUUGUUAUCUGUCAUCUGUAAAGUUGUAAUACUAAUAUCGUACUAUCUUGAUGUUUCCUCCUAAUUGUGGCUUACAUACAGAAUGGCAUACGUUUCUGACCACGAAUCACACUUGACAAUACUUCUUUAGUGCCAAUAAUUGUACGUGUUUGAAGUCUUGAUUUCAUUUCAUUAGGACCUCUAGUGUUGAUCGGAUGACUGAA